AACACAUGUCCACCUCCCCAGAGAUGAAGGUCGGUUGUUAGACAACUACUCUGUGAAAUAACGUGUACUCCUUGUCGUCAUACUGUCUCUGGGCGGACUGCGUCCAAAACAUGGCUGUUAUUAGAUGUUGCCGACGGCAGUUCGAUUUGAAUCUCAUAACAGUCGAGCCAGUUUUGUUUCUUUACAUGAUCGGACUCUAUCUGUCAAUUCCAACCUUCCAGGCAUUUGUGUAUAACAAGGUCUGCAUUGACAAGUACAACGAGACUUUCUGCGGCAGCCUGCGCAACAAGACAUUCCAAGAGGACCACAAAACAGAAGAGGAUUAUGUCCAGUCUGAGACGUCCUACUUGAUCUUAAAGAGAACAGCUGUAGAACGUGUUCCGGCAUGUUUGAUUGUACUGUUUUUCCUUGGAUCCUGGGGUGACAAAGUGGGUCGGAAACUACCUGUAAUUAUACCCAGUGUGGGGACAACGUUGUCUUACAUUGGGUAUAUGAUUCUUUCCAUUUACCCUUCAAGUAAAGUGGAGUAUGUGAUGAUCCCUGCUGUAGUAAAUGGUCUCUCUGGGAGUUUUACUGCCCUGUUGAUGGCAUCGUACAGCUACGUGACGCACGUUGCUGAUCCAAAGAAUAGAACUACGCGACUAGGAAUCGUGGAGGCUGUUAUCUCCUUGGCUGGAACAGUUGGAGUCUUAACAUCGGGACUCAUGUUGGACAAUACAAGCUUCACAUUCGUCUUCGCCGUCAUGAGUGGAUGUUCCUUCUUAGGACUGGUAUACGCUGCCAUACGUUUAGAAAACCUAACGGCGAGCACAACAAGACGGCUAGAGGGUGAAGGUUUCUGCGAAUAUUGGUUUCUGGGAUCUGUCAAGGAGUCUGGUCGUUGUGUGAUGAAGAAGAGGCAAGGAAGAGAACUCUCUAUAUCAUCAUACUGAUUAUCAUCUUCAACAUCUUUGUUAUCGGAACAGUGAGUGAAGCGGACAUCCUCCUCCUGUUCACAAAGCGAGCUCCACUCAGCUGGUCACAGACAACUUUGGGUUACUAUCAGGGUCUGGAGAACUUCGCUCGGAGUUUAAUGCUGGUCACAGUUCUGCCUCUGGUUAGGAAGUUGAGGAACACCACCGUAGGACUGUGGGGUUUGAUCUCCAAAGCCAUCGGUCUGGUGGUAUUGGGACUCAGUACACGAACAUGGCACGUCUUUCUAGUGACACUGCUGUCCAUGUUUCAAGGCUUCCCAGCAGCUGUUGUUCGGUCACUCUUGUCAAGUAUGGUCAGUCAGGCUGAACAGGGGCGCUUGUUUGGACUCCUGGCUUCAAUGGACAGCAUUGCUGUCGUGGUGGCAUCCCUGAUCUUCAACCAACUCUACCCAGCAACCCUUGAUAUCCUACCUGGCCUCAGCUUUAUGGUGGCUGCUGGUCUGUGUGUUGUUGCAGCAGCCAUUAUGCUAUGGCUUCAUUUUGAUAUGAGAGGACGGGUAUUGGUACUUACACAAAAUGUGACAGGAGACACAGAGGACAAAAACAAAGAGGACGCUCAGGUGGAGGCUUCGACGACCCACAUGUAAUCAUAAUCAGUCAUCACGUGUCGAGCAAAUGUCAGAUGUUUUGCCUAUAACAUCCGAAUAUGUCAAUAGUAAUAUAUUCGAGCAGUACACAAUACUCCAGAUCGGGUUCAAGUAUCAACACAAAGGGCUAAAAAGAGA
rnacentral:misc_RNA from 1 species